rnacentral:lncRNA from 1 species
GAGAAAUCUCCCAGCGGCAGCUUCAAGCCCGGACUUCGCCGCUCGGGCUCAAGGCCUCUAUUUUCCAGGCGCUCGCGGACAAGGCAGGAAGUAAGAGCGUGACAACCUGACCAGGAAGAGAAGUACUUUACCUGCAGGACAGUCCACUCAGACCAAGGCUGGAGACGGUUGUGUAGUACCCACCUCCCCGCUCCUACCGGUGUUUCGGCUCCGGGUCCUUCACUCGAAAAUGGCGCCUAAAAUACAAACUCGAACGGAAAUUCGUUACAAAUGCGCGCAAUGAUUUCUGGGAUCCACUAAUUUGAAAAAAAGUGCGGCGAUUAUCACCGCCAUCUUAUUGUCGCUCCUGCGCAUGCGCGAACUCCUGGCGGGACCUACGCGGUAGAAGUUUCUACUAAGUGAAAAGGAAGAGCGAGGGAUUCUUUUCUCUGUGGUCUACAGCAGCAGCACUAUUAUUAAAAAUAUUUGGAAAGACAACCUGGCAAGUUUUGAAAAAGAUUUUUUUAAAAACGUAAAUACAAUCAAGUGGCAUCUUAAAUUUUUGCUGGAAGUGGAGUC